UACGUAGGGCGCAAGCGUUAUCCGGAAUUAUUGGGCGUAAAGAGCUCGUAGGCGGUUUGUCGCGUCUGCCGUGAAAGUCCGGGGCUCAACUCCGGAUCUGCGGUGGGUACGGGCAGACUAGAGUGAUGUAGGGGAGACUGGAAUUCCUGGUGUGCGGUGAAAUGCGCAGAUAUCAGGAGGAACACCGGUGGCGAAGGCGGGUCUCUGGGCCGAUGACUGACGCUGAGGAGCGAAAGCGUGGGGAGCAAACAGG
rnacentral:rRNA from 1 species